AUUGAACGCUGGCGGCAGGCCUAACACAUGCAAGUCGAGCGGAGCGGCGGACGGGUGAGUAAUGCCUACGUAUCUACCUGGCCGUGGUGGAUAACGUCCGGUAACGGGCGCUAAUACCGCAUACUCUCACAUGAGCCUAGGUCGGAUUAGCUUGGUGGUGGGGUAAAGGCCUACCAAGGCGACGAACCGUAACUGGUCUGAGAGGAUGAUCAGUCACACUGGAACGGAGACACGGUCCAGACUCCUAGGGGAGGCAGCAGAGGGGAAUAUUGGCCAAUGGGGGAAAGCCUGAUGCAGCCAUGCCGGGUAUGUGAAGAAGGUCUUCGGAUUGUAAAGCACUUUAAGUUAGGAGGCGUUACCGACAGAAUAAGGAACGGCUAACUUCGUGCCAGCAGCCGCGGUAAUAC
rnacentral:rRNA from 1 species